UACGUAGGGUGCAAGCGUUAUCCGGAAUUAUUGGGCGUAAAGAGCUCGUAGGCGGUUUGUCGCGUCUGCUGUGAAAUCUGGAGGCUCAACCUCCAGCCUGCAGUGGGUACGGGCAAACUAGAGUGCGGUAGGGGAGAUUGGAAUUCCUGGUGUAGCGGUGGAAUGCGCAGAUAUCAGGAGGAACACCGAUGGCGAAGGCAGAUCUCUGGGCCGUAACUGACGCUGAGGAGCGAAAGCAUGGGGAGCGAACAGG
rnacentral:rRNA from 1 species